CCUCUCUCUCCCUCAUCCCCUUUCAAUACUCCCCACAUCCAGGUGGACACACCUUUUGCAAGAAAAGAACACUAUGCUAAAACCAGAUUUGGAGAUUAGGGAUCGGGGAAGAUUCUCCCCUUCUCUUGUUCAAAUGAAUGGACUGAACUCUCCCUCUCCCCUCCCCUGAGAAGAUUCAAAGGUAAUGCCCUUAUCCACUAGGGUACCUAACAAGGAGGAGAGAGUACUGACAUGACUCAGAGCAUCAGGAGAGGAAGCAUCAGGCCUGGGAAUUACAGAUGCUAAGAACUGGAAUGUCGAAGCAUGAAGUAACUAUGGAAGCUCUCAAUUUUGCAUUUUGAGAAGUGGAAAAGAUAGGAGUCCAUAAGCUUCACCAGACUGUUAAAGACAUUCACGACACCCUAAAAAAAGUUAAGAACACCUGAUAUAAUGAGAAAAACAUGAAACCUGGGGUCAAAACAAAGAUAUGCUGGAUUCCUGUUUCUCAUCUUGCUAGUCAUAUGACCUUCAGCAACUUACUUUACCACCCUGAGCUUCAUUUUCUUCAUUAACCUGCUGCAGAGACAACUACUAAUAGAUUUAGAUAAUACUGUCUAUGUGAUCUUGGGUAAAUAAUCUAAACAGUGCCUUAGUUUAUUCAUCUUCAAAAUGAGGAGGUUGAGUUAGCUGAUGUUUACUUCUGAUUCUUAAUCUGUGAUUAUCUAAUCCAAGUGCCCAGGUUUCCUAUAAAAUGGAGAUAAUAUUUAUGCCUGUAGCAUCUUCCUCACAAGGUUGUUGUAAGGUUGGAAUGAAAUAAUGUAUGUAUGACAGCUUGUAUAAAUGCCAGCAAUUUAUUAUUGUUAUUGUUAGUAAUGAUGGUGAUGAUGGUGAUGAUGAUGAUGAUGAUGAUGAUGAUGAAGACGAUGAUGAUGAUAUGUUUAUCCCCUGGACAUUGACCUGUAACCAUUUACUGUACAAACACGUCAGGUACCUGUUUUGUGUACUAGAAGAAAAAAACAUGGACUACAUUUACAAAAAGAUAUUUCCUUCUUGUAUUUCAAAGCAGAAGCUUUGUUAUUAGUGUAAACUACUGAGGCUCUUUCCACCACUAAAUCUAUGACUGUAUGAUUCAUUGAAUGAUUCCCCAAACCAAGAAACCAUUUCUUGAUUUAAAAGGUACCUGCGUUUAGAAGCUGGAACAGGUGAGUGACAAUGCCGCAUUUGUCUUUAAAGCAUCAAAGCAUGUGCAGGCUAGCCAUUGCCCUUGACAUUCCCGACCUGUUCAAAAAGCUCCUUGGAGUCUGCCAAUUAGACAAGAAUCAUUUUCUUUGCUGAAAAUAAAGGUGCCUUGGUGGCGGUGUUUAGUCA